CUGCGCACGGGACCUUCACCUGCCCCGGGCCGGGAGGGAGCGGUUCGCCCUGCGCGUAAAAGCGCCACGAGAACAUCUUUGGGCGCUGAAGCCAGUUGCACCUGUCUCCUGCUUGGAACAUUCUCGCUGGAACUUGUGGGUGCAGCUGUCAUUCAUCAUUCCCUUCCCUAAUUUGUCUCAAGGCUAGCGGAUGCAUUCCAGUCAUUUGCCAGAAGUUGAAGAACUGAAUGCCAUGAGUUUUUAGAGUGAAAGAACUACUGAGUGCCUGCCACAAGCAAGGACCUUAAUCAAGAAACAUUAAUUUGAAAUUUUAAGGUACUACGGAACAAAUAGAAGAUUCUAUUAACUUCCAAAGAGGAAAAAAAAAAAAACAGGUGAGGAAUGAGAAUGGCAUCUCAUUUCAUGAGAACUACAUUGAAAACUGGAAGAGAGUGGGGCAGUGCAUUCAAAAUUCUGAGGAAAGGUUGAGCUGUUCUAGAUUGCCAUCUUGGACAAACUUACCCAAAAAUGAGGGCAGAAUAAAGCCAUGUUUUGGUAUACAAAAUUUAAAAAAUGUAUUUAUCAUGCAGCCUUCCUCCAGAAACAAGCAAGACUGUGUUGCACUCCAAAAAAAAAAAAAAAAAAUUAAAAAGAUAAGAAAGAUGACCUGGGGCUGGCGCAGUGGUAUAGUGGGUUAAUGCCCUGGUCUGGAGCGCAGGCAUCCCAUAUGGGCACCGGUUCUAGUCCCGGCUGCUCUUCUUCCAACCCAGCUCUCUGCUAUGGCCUGGGAAAGCAGUAGAGGAUGGCUCAAGUCCUUGGGCCCCUGUACCAUGUGGGUGACCUGGAAGAAGCUCCUGGCUCCUGGCUUCAGAUUGGCACAGCUCCAGCCAUUGUGGCCAUCUGGAGAGUGAACCAGCAGAUGGAGGACCUCUCUCUCUCUCUCUCUCUCUGUGUGUAACUCUGACUUUCAAAUAAAUUAAUAAAAUCUUAACAAACAAACAAAAAGAGAAAGAUGACUUGAGAGAUGGAGGGGGUCAAAGAGAAUCUUCAAGAGAUAGAGGAGGAAGGCCCUAAAGUGACAGCUCUGCACUAGGCCAAGAGAGCAACCUUUCUAAGAUGGUACAGGAAGACAAAAAGCUCCAGCAAGCAUUUCUGAAAUGAUAAAGAACUUACAUGUUACUAGAUGUGUUCAAAUGUGUUCACACAAGUGUAUUAAUAAUAUAUGUAUAGUUCAGGAGACAAGCCUGGUAUCUAUUAGUGAUAGAUAAGUGAAAAGUACAUAAAAAGUUAAAGUAAGCUGUAAAGGAGAAAAUUAUUAGCUUUAGGAAAGCCAGGUAGAUGCAUAGAGAAGGAAAUACAAUAAUAAUUAAAUAUAUGGUAAUUGAUUUACCUGACAUUGUGCCUAUACUGAAAAGAUGGGGAAGGAGAAAUAUGUAUCUGGGUGUCUAGGAUGGGGUUAGUAUAAGAAAACCAAAUACC